GUCCGGCGUCGACAAGUACAACAUCCUCUCCCGCUUCACCUGCAACGCGUUCUACCUCGACUCCAAGUCCACCAUCGGCGUCGAGUUCGCCACCCGCACCCUCCUCGCGAGUACUCACCCCCGUUCCAUUAAUCGUUGUCAUUCCUUGCUUUGCUCGCCGCUAGAUCCGAUGUAUCAGUCUAGUGAUUCGCUGCCCAGAUAUCUUGCACUCCAGAUCUAGUGAUUCGCUGCUUGCAAACAAUAGCUAGUAAAUCGGUCACCAUGGGGACGGGGACAUGAGAUUCAGAGAAGAGAUGCUGCUGCCAGCCUAUACUAGUUCAUAUGUAUCCAGGUGCCUAGAUCUACCAUACUCACCUCAUUUCACUGUGCUACUAGUAGUUCCUAGGCCAUUAGCUCUUGCUUGCUUUUUUUGCUGCACAAUGAGCAUUCUCGGUGAACAUUGAGGCCUAGUUUGGCAACACCGCUUUUCAAAGACCAUGGUUUUCCAAAACUUCAGUAUUUCAAUAGAUGGGCAACAAGUACUUCAGUUUCUGAAAAACAUAGAUUUUCUCAGUUUUGAUAAAAUUGCUCAGGUGUUUGGCAAGUGGCAGUUUUUCUCUGUUUUCUUUGGUUUGUACAGAUUAUUACAUGUUGCAUGCAUGCUCAACAACACUCACGGAUCAGCUUGUGCUAAUGGCCACUGUAUGCAUGUAGCCUUGCACGGGCAUGUUCUCUCCUAGUAGAUGCCAGAAUCUGUAGCAGCAGUAGUAGUAGAGCUAUCUAUUGUAAUCAAUUAAAGACCGAGCUAGUUACCACAUGGACAGAGAGAGCGCCCAGCCAGCGUUUCUCAGUUUUUUAAAAAGAGUUCGGGACCACUUUUUUAUAUAUAACAAAAGACCAUAGUUUAAGAGAUACCACAGUUUGUUAAAUUGCAGUAUUUUUUCAUCCAAACAACUCAAAGUAUUGAAUACCAAGGUUUUCUUAGAAACCAUAGUAUUUUUUAAAACUACAAAAAUACUUUGGCUCCCAAACGCACACUGAAUCUCUUAAUUAGCGACAAUAUUAAGAUGACAUCCACCCAUUUCUUUAUUUUUGUGAAUGGACAGAGUGAUCUAUAUUUUUUCGUCAGUCCAUACAACACUUUUGACUAGUAAGAUUCAUUAUGUACAAUGUAGUGUGCCUAUUGGUUUUCAUGUUUAGGAAGAACCUAUGAUUUACCUUCAGAGAAACACAUAGUUUGUCCUAGGAGGCAAUGUGCAUGUUUUAUUUUCUUUGAGAAAUGUUCAUUCCAUGGAAGGGGGUGUAGGAGCACAAGCAUCCCAAUAUGCCCAUACAGGACAAAAAAGUUACUACAAUGUUAAAUAUUCAUUUUACUGCUAGUGUCCAUUUAGCAGUUUUUUACUAUGUUUCUACCAAGAUGAUUCAGCCAUUUGUUUGUUUUCCUGCAGCAAAGUGCGGCUGGACGAACGAGGCUGCUAUUCUGCCUUGAUCUGCACACAAAGAGUUCUUGGACCUGACCUGAAGCAAGGAUACCUGCGGCUGCAAGCCAACAAUGUCUGAAGACAGGCGCUGCUUGUCGAUGUUCUCCGCAUAACGAUAGGCUUCCAUGUAUUUUCCACUUUCCUUUUCGCUUUCUGUAAUGCUAACUUGACGGUCACCCUAUAGUUUGUUGGCUGUUGCAACCCAGCAGCGGCACUUCCAUUUUAACGCAUGUACUAGUGUGCUAAAACUUGCAAAAGACACAAAUCUUGAGCUUUCUUUAUCAGCUUGUUGUUGCUGCUCCUUGUGUACAAUGAUUGAUGUUGCUCUAGUUAGUGUUGUAUAGGAAGAAAGAGGAUGUAUUUAUAUAGACAUGUAUGUAUGUUUACUUCAUUUGUUCCUUGUCUGUCCAAUCCCCUCCUAAUGAAUUUGUUUGUUCGAUUUGGAUUAGCAGGCUCGUCCCUGGACCAGAUGUUCAAGUACAGCCCCAUCCACUGCAUCGACCUAGAGUCAAGUAUGUACUCGUCUUGUUGAACAAAUGGGACGUAUGCUUCAUGGCCUAAUGCUUGAUGCUUGAUGCAUGUAUCAUGUUUGUUCAUUGGUAAAUAUGUAAAUCAUGGCUGGCCUGAUGGUUCAUGGCCUCAUGUUUUCUUCAGUGGUAGCACAUUCAGAUGUAUUAAUUAAUUUUAUACAUGUUUGCAAAUUUGGACGACGAUAACAAACUGUAAUCAUGAAUACUUGUCUAAAAACUUGAACAACCAUCUUGUUUAAUUUGGUGAUGUUCCUCCAUGCUAAGACCUAAUCUGCUGCACUAUUAUUUAGUUUUCAUCACCGGUUUUGAUUUCACUAAAUUUAUAUUUUCUUUUGUAUGCUUAUAGUCUAUUAGUUCUCAUUCUAGCUCUAAAUGUUGUUUGCAGCAUCACCAUCAAGUACGCCAUCAAAGUAAUUCACCACUCCACCAUCAACUAUGCUUUGCUCUACUUGCUCUCCUUAGUUUUGCUCUUUGCUGGAAAGCACAAAGAAAAUUGAAGCUAUGUAGAUGAUUUGAUCUGAAGAGGGUCAAAGAGAAAAUGCCCACAUGUUUACUGCCUUAUUAUGUUCUGCUUGAGUUGACACUAUUUAUGUCCAAACCUGGGUUUAUACUCUUUGCUUGUCGUCAUCACUCAUCGGUUGGGAUGUUUACUUAAUGUAUUUGUGUCUGAUUUGCUCCAUCAUAUUUCCUGAUGUACUUCUACAUAUAUAUGUUGGUUGUAAUCUACUUGAAUGAUCCAAGUACUUGAUAUUCCAUUCUGUUCUUGUAGGUGAAUGGAGCUUGUGUUGUUGGUAGAACUCCAUUGAUGACUUCUUCCUAUGUUGAAGAGCAUGUUCCGUGGUAUCCAAGAGUAGAUAGAUUUACACUGGCAGAGCGUUUUAUUUGUCGAUCGCAAUGUUUGUGAUUGUGUGGAAUAUUGUAUGGUUAUCUACAUGAAGUUUGAAGUUCCUGGGCGUGCAAUAUUUGAUGGUCAAACAAGUUGUUGUGAUGUGAACGAGUGUAUGGAGUUUCACAUGUUUUGUUCUGUACAUAAUAUAUUGUAAUAAACCUAUUUUGGUUGUUAUUUGAAGAUUUUCAUAUUCUUAUGUUCUUUCUGUUUGAUAUAUACUGCUUAAAAAGCAAU
rnacentral:lncRNA from 1 species